GAGAAACAUUGGGCUCAGCUCCAGACAGGCUUAUUUCCCUCUUCCAUCUUGAGACGUUCUGGUGCUGAACAGCAUGAGUUUGCACAGCUAAAUAUUUAGGAGAAAGCAAUGAAGCUGCGUCACCAAAAAGCUCAGAGCAUCCCUCAGAACAGGAUGAGAUGAACUUAGUUUGUGCAGUCUUGGAGCAGGCUGAGAAGGGCCUAUACUUAAACCAUCAACUUCUGUGAUCACCGUAUUGUCUCAGUUGUGCUCAUUCCAGCAUCACUUGGGGAGCAUCUGGUGUGUUCUCCACAUGGGACAGUCACGUGGCUUGGACCUGACUUCAGGAUGGAGACUGCAAGGAUCUCUCACUCUUCCCCAGUGGCUUGGAGCAAAAGCCAACAUGGUUAGGAGGUGACUCCAGCGUGACGGGAGGUUUGCCACCCCAGUGCCCUCUGAAGACAUGUAAGCAAGAGACAACACUGCCUCCUGAGCAUCAAGCAACUACUGAUGUUCCUUCAGCAAAGACGCCUGCCUCAAAGUGGACAGAAGGGAGAAAACAUUUGCAUGUCUCUUUGUGAAGAACUCGCAGUACUGACCGGAUCCAGCCUGAGAAGAGGCAACGGCCAAAAACCAAAGAAACCAAACAAAUAAAAAUGCACGAUGGGCUAAUAUAAACAGCAUGUCAAGAGGGAAGUAGCUUACAGUGCUCAUGUACCAAUAAGAGCCAUU
rnacentral:lncRNA from 1 species